rnacentral:rRNA from 1 species
GACGAACGCUGGCGGCGUGCUUAACACAUGCAAGUCGAACGGAAAGGCCCUGCUUUUGUGGGGUGCUCGAGUGGCGAACGGGUGAGUAACACGUGAGUAACCUGCCCUUGACUUUGGGAUAACUUCAGGAAACUGGGGCUAAUACCGGAUAGGAGCUCCUUCUGCAUGUUGUGGGUUGGAAAGUUUCGGCGUUUGGGGAUGUACUCGCUGCUUAUCAGCUUGUUGGUGGGGUAGUGGCUUACCAAGGCUUUGACGGGUAGCCGGCCUGAGAGGGUUACCGGGCACAUUGGGACUGAGAUACGGCCCAGAGUCCUACGGGAGGCAGCAGUGGGGAAUAUUGCACAAUGGGCGGAAGCCUGAUGCAGCAACGCAGCGUGCGGGAUGACGGCCUUCGGGUUGUAAACCGCUUUCGCCUGUGACGAAGCGUGAGUGACGGUAAUGGGUAAAGAAGCACCGGCUAACUACGUG